GAAAUGCGAUAACUAGUGUGAAUUGCAGAAUUCCGUGAAUCAUCGAGUCUUUGAACGCACAUUGCGCCCCCUGGUAUUCCGGGGGGCAUGCCUGUCCGAGCGUCAUUGCUGCCCAUCAAGCACGGCUUGUGUGUUGGGUUGUCGUCCCCUCUCCGGGGGGGACGGGCCCCAAAGGCAGCGGCGGCACCGCGUCCGAUCCUCGAGCGUAUGGGGCUUUGUCACCCGCUCUGUAGGCCCGGCCGGCGCUUGCCGAACGCAAAUCAAUCUUUUUCCAGGUUGACCUCGGAUCAGGUAGGGAUACCCGCUGAACUUAAGC
rnacentral:misc_RNA from 1 species